GGUGUCGUGGUAUAGUGGUUCAUUCACUUGACUCUCAAUCCAAGGGUUGAGGGUUCGAAUCCCAGACUGGCACCA
rfam:Strongylocentrotus purpuratus Contig129232_fixed, whole genome shotgun sequence.